rnacentral:rRNA from 1 species
CGUGCUUAACACAUGCAAGUCGAACGGUCGACCCAGGGGCUUGCCCUGGUGAUCAGUGGCGAACGGGUGAGUAACACGUGGGCAACCUGCCCCUGACUUCGGGAUAACUCCUCGAAAGAGGAGCUAAUACCGGAUACGACCACUUCGGACAUCCGAUGGUGGUGGAAAGUUUUUCGGUCAGGGAUGGGCCCGCGGCCUAUCAGCUAGCUGGUGGGGUAAUGGCCUACCAAGGCGACGACGGGUAGCCGGCCUGAGAGGGCGACCGGCCACACUGGGACUGAGACACGGCCCAGACUCCUACGGGAGGCAGCAGUGGGGAAUAUUGCGCAAUGGGCGAAAGCCUGACGCAGCGACGCCGCGUGAGGGAUGAAGGCCUUCGGGUUGUAAACCUCUUUCAGCAGGGACGAAGCGAAAGUGACGGUACCUGCAGAAGAAGCACCGGCUAACUACGUG